AUAAUCUAAAAGCACUUGUGUUAUGCAGUCAUUUGCGUCAUGCGAAGAUUGGUGUGCGUGUCUUCCCGCCCCUUCUCAUUUAAAAAAAAAGAAAAACGGUUUGCUGCUCACCACUUAAACACUGGCACCUGCAUGUCAAUGGAUAAACUCUAGGCCUAAUCUAUCAAAGUAAGAUUUAUAUUUAAUUUUAUAUUAGCCGAGUUACUGCUGCUUUUAUCUACCCUUUAAUACUUGGGUAAAGUUGGUUUUAUAUUCGCACAUUCACAAUAUUCACAAUAUUUCCGCGUUCAAUAACUUUCUAAUUAUAUGUGCAAAAAAUGUUUCUUUUGCAAAUUCUAAUCGGAGACAUCAUUGUCAACCUACUACCUUUUUUUCACCAUCGAACAAAAUGGCCAAGUAUUGUUUUAAUGGCAUACUUACUUGCGAAUGUCCGCUGAAUGUCCAAUGUAGUGCGGUUAACAAAGCAAUUGAAUGCAAUAGUCCGAAUGUGCGAAUAUAAAACCAACUUUACCCAAGUCCCUUUAAUUGGAUUUUUUUUCAACGCGACGCGGCUGGCGGACAGGCGGGAGACUCAUCGUGAAGGCGAAAGUCCUAAGAGUGUGUUAAAUGGGUAGGUAUACGUUAAAAUGCAUGUGUACACUUUUCUUCAUUGUCUUGUAUGUAUUAUUUUAAUGUAACUCGCUCACUUUCCCAGUAAAGCGGUGCUAACUAGUAUUUUCCUCCUGCAGCGCGCUGGCGGACCGGCGGGAGACUCGUGAAGACGAAAAGCUCUACGAAUACUUUAAAUAGGAGCGGCGCUGGCAGAGCGGCCGGACCCUCGGGAGACAGGCGGCCAUAAACAAGACCGUUUUAAACAUGUUCAGAUGGUAUGAAGCUGAGGAGUCUGCACAGGCCUAGGAAUAUCAUUUUAUCCUGAUCUAUUCAAGUGUUUUUGUCUAUUUUUGUUUAAUAUUUUGUUUUACCCA